UACAGAGGGGGCAAGCGUUGUUCGGAAUUACUGGGCGUAAAGGGCGCGUAGGCGGCCUUCUAAGUCGAACGUGAAAUCCCUGGGCUCAACCCCGGAACUGCGCGCCGGACUGCAGUGCUCGAGUGCGGGAGGGGGGUGCGGAACUCUAGGUGGAGCGGUGAAAUGCGUAGAUAUCUAGAGGAACACCGGUGGCGAAAGCGACACCCUGGCCCGCAACUGACGCUGAGGCGCGAAAGCGUGGGUAGCAAACAGG
rnacentral:rRNA from 1 species